GCUUCUCUGUACACCCUUUGUGUCUUCCCUCGUCAACAUGGCUGGGUCUCUCUCCCUCUCCGCCUCUCUCUCUGGCCUCCUUGCCGCCCCUCCACUCCGCGGAGGCCACGGGGUCCCCUCCUUCUCGCGGCCGCCCCUCUCCUCCUCGCGGGCCAGAGCCACCUCGUCGCGCCUCCUCGCGGCGCGCUGCGACCGGGCCUCGAUCCGCGCCGCCCUCCUCCUCCCUUCGCCCACCGGCUUAGCCAUGGCGCGCGCACGAGCGUCUCCGGCCGGCGAAGUGCGGGCCUCGAGCUCCCCAGCGGCGCCCCUCUCUCCCUACUCCGCUCCCUCUGCGAGCCCGUGUAGCAUCCUUCCUCCUCCCUCCCUCCGGCGCAUCCGGCCUCGAGUUCGCCGGAUCCGCGCGGGUCCACGGCGGCGGCCGCCGGAUCCACAUGGGGCGCGGCGGCUCCCUCCCGCCGGCCCCUCCCUCUCCGGCCGGCUCCUCGUCCCUCCCUCUCCGCGACUACGGCGCCGGUGCCCCUGCUCCCACGCGCGCGGCCCCCUGGAACCCUCGCCGGCGGCGCGGGUCGGCAGCCACGUGACGGGGCAGGCGUGUGGUGGACAUGCGCGGUCCACUGCCUGCAGCUCCCUCCCCGGCGGAUUCCGUGGCGACAGCGCCGGAUUCCGCGGCGACGGCGGCCGCCCGGCGUGGGCGCGCGUCGGCGCGGGAUGGACGCGGCGGCCCGGAUCCCGGAUCCCGGCUGCGGCCCCCGGCGUGCGACGGCGGCGAGGACCCGGCGGCGCGCGACGGGGAGGGGCUCCAGGGGCUCCUGGCGACGCGCGGUGACCCCCGGCCCCACGGUGGCGCUGCAGGAGGCCGCUGCGGCGCGGAUCCGGUAGUAGGCUGGCGUGCGCGGGAGCGCCGCCCGUGUCCGAGCCGCCUGCGGCGAUAUGGCAGGGGCCUCGCUGGCGGCCUACACGGCGGCGGCUCCCCGGCUGCUCCGGAUCCAGUGGCCUCCCCGGCGGCUCCCCGGCGGCUCCCUGUGCAGAUCAAUCGACCGCGGGGGCCCGGUGUUCGUGGCCGUGUACCAGCCCGUGUAGACGCUGGUGGCGGCCGAGGAGCGGAUCCAGCGGCGCCUCGGCUCCUCUCGUCGGCGAACGCGAUUCCGGUCGGGGUGGCCAUGGACACCGCCUGCAUUGCGACCCCACCUCGUUCACCAUCCUCCACCACGAUGACGUCGGCGGCCUCCAGGUCUGCGCCGCCGGACGCUAGCGCUCCAUCUGCCCCCACGCCGGCGCCCUGGUCGUCAACAUCGGCGACACCUUCAUGGCGCUCUCCAACGUCAGCUACAGGAGCUGCCUGCACCAGGCCGUCGUCAACAUCCGCGUACCGCACCGCUCGCUGGCCUUCUUCCUCUGCCCGGAGAUGACAAGGUGGUGCGGCCGCCGGGGGAGCUGGUGGAUGCGCGCAACCCGCGGGCGUACCCGGACUUCAUGUGGCGGGCGCUGCUAGACUUCACCAUGAGGCACUACAGGGCGGACAUGAGGAUGCUCGAGGCAUUCUCCAGCUGGAUCGUCCGCCAUGGCCACCAUGCACCUCUGAAUCUCUGAAUGCUACUGCCUGCAUGCACAGGCACCUCUGAAUCUCCUCACAUGCACCUUUGAAUCUCUUAAAGAUGUGCAUUUCAUGAUAUUUAGGUAUCAGCAAAACGGAUGUUUCUAUGACUUUCAUAUAAUAUGCAUUACACAGGCUAAAGUGCUGAGCCGAUUCUGAAUUUUUGUAGCGAAGUGACAAAGUUAUAUGCUCAUGGAUGGCAUUUGAUGGGACCAGAUCGAAACCAUGUACCGUUUUGCCUUUUUGUUGCUGCUUCGUGUACUCCUGUAGUGGUAGAUUAGGUAUAGAGUAUAAAUGUGUCUUUUUGUCAAAAAUAAUUAUUUAGCCUGUAUCUCUGAACUCGAUGCUCUUUCUUUUGCUUGGAAGCAGCAGCUUUUGCAUGUGUCAAUCUUAAGGAUUGUGCUGUUGAGUGGCCACUGUGAAUCAUUCCAUACUUUCCUUGCCUGCAUAGCAACUCAAUGUUGACAAAUGAUGCUCGUUUUUUUUCUUCCAUCAGUUUUCUUACCUUAGUGUUUUCUGACUGGAAAAAAAUUCUUGUGUAGAUUGCUACCCAUUGUUUUCUUCGGUUUGUCAUGGUCAGCUUCAAGCUGUACUCCAUUGGAUGCGAGUACAAGCCGAUUUGGAUUCAAUUUUUUAAUUCCAAACAAAAAAAAAUGAAAUAUCGUCCAAUGCCUCUGCAAAUACAGAGUUCCUUGUACGCGUUGCUGUGGAAUCCUCAUCCUGCUCCGGGCUGACGAAGUUGAGUGAACCCAGUGGACUCCUUUUCAGAUUUGCUUACGCUGCCAGGAAAGAAAAAAAAAGGUGUGUUCUACUGCUACGCUCUUGUUGAUCCUUCUAAAGCAUUCCAUUGUUCCCUCACGCUGCCAAAAGUAAGCAAAUGCUGCAUCCUAUUUAAGUCUUAUCUUUUACUGAUGGUGCAUUCGCCAUUUGUGGCCACGAUUUGUAAUGUCUCCUCUACAAAUGUUCUCAUGCUGACUUAAAAUCACAAAUCAUUUAUACAUAGGCCUAUUACCUCCCCAUCAUGCCGACUAAGAUUUUCCUAAACUAGGUAAUGGCUCUUCGUACAUCCCUGUUAACUCCGAUCCUUCUGAAAAUCGACAAAAAAACGUAGGAAAUACAUCCUCCAGAAGAGGUUAACACAUGCAGGUACCAACUUUCAGUAACCGAAGAAUCCAUGUUGCUGCAGCAGACGACCAGCAAGGUUGCAGGAGAUGCUCACCUGUUCCCUGUGUCUGAAUAUGAAACUCCUACCCUGAGUGCUUCAGUUGCAACAUCUUCCUCUAAGCAGCAUCUCACAGGUAUAUGUUCGCAGCGGCUCGUUUCCAGGUCCGUGAAAACCCAUUUAGUAACCGGACAAGCAGAAAUAUCCGUUAACCUCAAUGCUGAAACAAGUUUGAAAGUUCCUUCUGACUCGACCACAGAUGCCCACCUUCCUCCUUUAUACAUCCAGCACCUCUAUUUCCUUUUUUUCUUAAUCUCACAUAUAUUGGUGUUGCUCCUAUUUGAUACUUUAAGGACUAAUUUGAGCCUUGGAGCAAAGUUGAAGGAUUAUUUGACUAUUUUACCUAUUUUUAAUGUGCUUUACUGCAGUUGUAUUCUUCUUAGCUUGCAAAUGAAAUCGUGGUCCACAGCUCCAUCGCAACAGCAUCUUUGCCUGAAUAUUAUCGUAGUUGAUGCCUUCAUGGUGCUUACAUAUUGCUGGGUACUAUGCUACAAGCAGCUCUUUACACAACGACCAAAUAAGAAGCUUAGCAUAGCACCAAUUUUUGGGAGCUAUUUAUUUACAAUUAUGCUCCUACAAACAGUUGCAGGCUGUGACUGUUUAAAGCAGAUUAUUUUGAAUUGAAAUGUCUGCAUGGUUCAGAUUUGAACCUUAACCUAGCUGAAAGAGAUAUAUCAUUUCCAGCAACAAACAUUUUUUUUUUCAAGAAACACUGAGCGCGCGCGCGACCGCUUAAUGAUUGUACUGUAAAUUGUGGUUCCAGUCGAGGUUGUAUUGCAGACUUUCCAGGACAUUGUGUACAAUCUAAUGCUGAACUAAUAUACGGCUCCUACUCAGCUCCUUUAUUUGCC